ensembl:lncRNA
GGGGCAGACAGGUGAGGAGGAUAACUGAUAAUGAGACACAAAUGGAGACGAAUUCAAAUGACAAGGACAGGCACAGGAAGGACCAAACAAGGAUAACAGGAACUAAGACCGGGGUAAAACAAGGAAACUAAAGUCCACAACACUGACAAUGAAACUCACUGUCACUGUCACUGAAAAAUCCCCACCACCAAUGCACAGUUUAUCUGGAACACUCAAACACAGACAGGUGGAGUGAUACAAACAGUGCAUACAAGUUUGGAAUGACAUGUUGAACGCACACUGUUCCACAUGCUUCCCUGUGUUCGAGCAUCUUUGAAGUCUCUGAAUCUCUUCCCCUUGUGAUAUUACACAGAUGAUUUAAACAGAGAAAUGCAGGAACAGCAUUAACCAGCUGGGGCUAAUGGGGUCAUGUUAGCCAUCCACACCAUGACCCUUUGACCUAAAUGAGAAUCAACAACCCUUAGGAGGCCUGGUAAAAAUGCUUCCCUCUGAAUCAUUAUCUGCUAGUGUAACUGCUGGACAGUGUUGUUGUUGUUUUUUUUUUUAAUGUGUUUACUCACCUUUUGAUCUCAUUUUGUUUUAUUUUUGUACUCUCAAUUAUUUUCUCAUCCACAUAUUUUCUGAUCUCGUGGCUCCUGAGAAAACGCUCCUUGAUGGGAGGAUUCCCAGAAUUUUGUGUUGCCAAACAGGUUUCUGGAUCUUCCUUGGUGCCUCAGACAGUAUAUCUUUGUGAUAGCUCAGCCCCCCUGAAGACAGAACCGGAGAGGGAAUCAAGAAGUAUGUAUCCAGCCCAGAUGGUGGAUCAGCACCUAGAAAGGACCUCUACAGCCCUGAAAGACAGCGGAGACCAGGACUAGAGCCCCAGAGACAGAUCCCCUGUAAAGACCUUGUCUCAGACGACCACCGGGACAAGACCACAGGAAACAGAUGAUUCUUCUGCACAAUCUGACUUUGCUGCAGCCUGGAAUUGAACUGCUGGUUUCGUCUGGUCAGAGGAGAACUGGCCCCCCAACUGAGCCUGGUUUCUCCCAAGGUUUUUUUCUCCAUUCUGUCACUGAUGGAGUUCUGGUUCCUUGCCGCUGUCGCUUCUGGCUUGCUUAGUUGGGGACACUUCAUUUACAGCGAUAUCGUUGACUUGAUUGCAAAUUAUUG